CUGGGCUCUCUGUAUACUGUGUACAGCAGUAAAUCAGGCAGGCCGGGGCUCUCUGUAUACUGUGUACAGCAGUAAAUCAGGCAGGUCAGGGCUCUCUGUAUAUUGUGUACAGCACUAAAUCAGGCAGGCCGGGGUUCUUUGUAUACCGUGUACAGCAGUAAAUCAGGCAGGUCAGGGCUCUCUGUAUACCGUGUACAGCAGUAAAUCAGGCAGGCCGGGGCUCUCUGUAUACCGUGUACAGCAUUAA